rnacentral:rRNA from 1 species
AGAGUUUGAUCAUGGCUCAGGAUGAACGCUGGCGGCGUGCUUAACACAUGCAAGUCGAACGGACAUAAAGGGGCUUGCCCCUUUAUGUUAGUGGCGGACGGGUGAGUAACGCGUGAGCAACCUGCCCAUAUCAGGGGAAUAACACAGUGAAAAUUGUGCUAAUACCGCAUAAUGCAGUUGGGCCGCAUGGCUCUGACUGCCAAAGAUUUAUCGCUCUGAGAUGGCCUCGCGUCUGAUUAGCUAGUAGGCGGGGUAACGGCCCACCUAGGCGACGAUCAGUAGCCGCGG